UCCAUCAAAAUAAAAGAUCCCGGGAGUAGAAGGGGCUGGAGGGGCGAGUAGGGAUGGGACAGGGAAAACAGUGCAGUGAAUGUGACCGAACUUUCCAGUGUGCGUACAUGACCACACCACAGUGAGUCUCUAUGUUCAUCCACAAGACACUGAUUUAAAAAAAAUAAAAAUAGUAAAUGAAUGGGAAGCUCAGUAGAGGAAAAGGAAAAGGGAGGCAGGGUACUAGGGACUGAACAGGAGCAAAUUGUGCCCCAUGCUUUUAUAAUCAUGUCAAAAUGAACCCUAAUGUUCUGUAUAACUGUUAUGAACGAAUAAAAAACUAAAAAAUAAAACAACUUCCUCCUCCAAAUUGUCCUCCUCAGGUGUUUCAGUCACAGUGACAACACACCGAGGCCCGCGGUCACAAGGAAGGGAUCUGCCAGCAGCCUGAGGGGCUGGGCAGGUCCCCCAGCCCUGGACUCCAGCUCGCCAGGCCAGGCCCCUGACCCCGGAGGUGACAGGCGUCCCCACGCCCCUGCUGCCCCAGCUCCUGCCCACAGAAGCUCCGAGCGCGGCCGCCCGCCUUGCCCACGCGUGAGGUUCUGUGCAGCCCUGGGAACGGGUCAGGGGCUCCCAGCCCUUUCCCAGAGGAACCACCGUGUCCUCUGAACUCACCAAGCCACGGUCCCUUCGGCCACAGUAAGAACGGUGACACAAAACAAGACAAGUAGUGACAUCACGAAAGGGUACCACAGUGAACCCCGAGUGAAAACCUGCACCCAUGUCCACCAGGCGACAGGUCUGCGGGAGGAAAACCCAUGCUGUCACAGUACCCAAGAUACAGACGCAACACAGGCAGCCAUCAGUGGACAAACACACACACGUGAACACGCGCUGACACGCGGGCACACACUGGGAUGUUACUCAGCGUUCAAGGAGGAGGAAAUUCUGCCAUUUGCCACAGCAAGGAUGGACCCAGAGCACAUUCGGCUAAGCCAGAUGCAGGGGGAAAAAUACUGCAUGAUCUCACUUAAAUGUAGAACCUCACGAAGAAGAAAAAAACAAGGUCGAUUAUACAGAGACAGAAAACAAAACAGGGGUUCACAGUGGUUCUCGGCUCAGUGAGGGGAGAAGGAAAUGAGGAGGUGGAAGUCCACAGAUACACAGUAGUGGAUAGGCAGGGUGAAGAAGUCAGAAGAUCCAACACAGAGGACCACGCUUAAGGCUCACUGUGCCUGGGAGUUUGGCUAAACCCACAGAGUUUACCUGCUCUUGCCAUAAAAGGAGGAAAAAAUGAGUGACUACAUGAGACGAUGGAUAUGUUCAUUUGUUCCACUGUAAGUGACCACUCAGAUACCUACAGACAGAUCUAGAUGUGUCUCUUACGACAUCUUGCCAUAUACCUUAAUUACAUGCAAUAUAUUCAGAAACUCCCUCACAGAGUUCUCACUUGGCAAAUAUAAAAAUCUUGCUCCUUUCUUAAAAAAACAAAACAAAACAAAAAAAACUCUGUUGGAGUUUUGCUGCAGUAAGACGCCAUGUCACUCCUAUCAGGAUGGUUAUUAUUGCCAAUCCCCAAA